rnacentral:rRNA from 1 species
UGAGUAACCUGCCCUUCACUCUGGGAUAACUCCGGGAAACCGGGGCUAAUACUGGAUAUGACUCGAACAGGCAUUUGUUUCGGGUGGAAAGAUUUAUUGGUGGAGGAUGGACUCGCGGCCUAUCAGCUUGUUGGUGAGGUAAUGGCUCACCAAGGCGACGACGGGUAGCCGGCCUGAGAGGGCGAUCGGCCACACUGGGACUGAGACACGGCCCAGACCUCCGUACGGGAGCA